rnacentral:lncRNA from 1 species
UGCUGCUCCUCUUAUCAAGAAGAGCCCUCAAAUCUGGGUUUGGCCAUGCCACUUGUUUUGCCCAACAAAUCAAGCAGAAGUGAUGUGCAACUUAUGAGCCUAGGGCUGAAGAGGUCUUUCAGCUUUUAUGCUUACCCUCCUUUCCCUUAUUCAGUGUUUGCGUGUUCCCAAAACACCUGAAUUACAUAAUAUUUUAAAUUGUUAGUUGUAUUUAUUGAAUGAGCUUGAUGCUCCCCGGUCUUAGAUUUUAGGGUGGCAAGUUGAACAUAUCAUCUAGUUUUCUUUAAAACAAUAGAUUUUAAACUUCACUCUGGAACCCAUGCUGGUACAGAUACAGCCUAAGACUGCAUCCUUUUAAAGGCAUUAUUUCAUAUUGCUGAGGCUUCAAACAUCACUUGGAACCCUAUGAAGUCAUGUGGUCCCAGUUCUGUAUUUAUAUAAUAUGAAAUGGCAGAUUUACAUUUAUUCCUGUGUAAUUUCAACCAGUGAUUUUGGCCCAUUGACCCAUCCUGUUGAAAUCUUUAAAUAUUCUCAGUCUGUCUGUCAACCAAUACACUUGGAAACCAAUUUUGUCACUAUCAAUAGUAUUGACCCAGCAGGUGUGUGUUUCACUUGAAUUACGGAAGAAUUGCUCGAAAUCACACAGUUGAAGACUGAUCCAGGAGAAGGUUUGCUUAGACAUAAAGCCUAAUGUCUCUGGAAACCAUCGAAUCUCAGACAAAGUGGGCUGGUUGGUCCCCAGCAGAUAGGACACUAGGCUGAUGGGGGAGUGGGUGGCAAAGCGGACUGAGGUCAGAGGCACAGCAUGAGGUCAAGUCAGCGGCAAAGAGGAUAAUUUUUACACCUCAACAGAGUGGAUAUGCCAAGGGGUAGUCAGGACAAUAGGCUUAACAGUGUUGGAGAGAGAACACGUGUGUGUGACACAGGUGAGCACCUUUACAGGCUCUGUGAGACAGUGUCGCUGUGCUGA